rnacentral:misc_RNA from 1 species
UCUCCGUAGGUGAACCUGCGGAGGGAUCAUUACAGAGUUCUCGCCCUCGCGGGUAGAUCUCCCACCCACUGUUAUCGUUACUGUGUUGCUUUGGCGGGCCGCCGGGCCCCGCUCGGCCGCCGGCUCCGGCUGGCGCGCGCCCGCCAGAGGCCCAGCAAACUCUGAAUGUCAGUGUCGUCUGAGUACUAUAUAAUAGUUAAAACUUUCAACAACGGAUCUCUUGGUUCUG